UCUAUCCAUCGCUAGCAUGCAUGCCUGAGUAGUAACAGCCAAAGUGUCUGGGACCCAUUUCGUGUGGAGAGAUUAAGAAAAGGAAGAUGCUCUACAUUGUACUGCUACUGCUGUCUUCCUCCCCGAAUCUUCCGCACCGCUCAAGCACCACCGUGGGGAGGUCGCCGCCGCCAAGCAACAACACGGGGAGGCUGCCGCCGGGGAGAUUGCCGCCACCGAGGAACACCACGGGUCCCGGCACGCCGCCUCGAGGAGCUCGUCCGCCGCUGCCUGAGGCUCGAGAUAUCCUUCCCCGGAAAGGAAGCCGAGCAAGCUCCGGCGGCGGCUACUGGAUAAAUCAGCGCCGGCAAGACCCUCCGCCCCAAUUCCCACAGGCUACUCCUCCGCUCCCCGCUGUGAGAACGCCCUCCGCUCCGCUCCAACGACCCCCUCCAGAAGAAGCGAGUGUCUGUGCUGCCGGUAGUAGUCCCAAACAGGCACACGAGCAGAGUUCCAGACUCCAGUAGAUCUGAAGAAGUGCUGAGCUUGUACAAUCUGUCGUUGUAAUAUGGCCCAGGUUUUUGCUUU